rnacentral:miRNA from 1 species
UUAUAUGUCACCAGGGGAACUGGUGACAAUGUAGAUUGUGACUCAGGAGGUCUGAGAUGAGGCCUGAGAUUCUGCAUUUCUAACAAGUUCCCGGGUGAUGCUGGU